rnacentral:rRNA from 1 species
UGCGUAGGUGGUUGACUAAGUCAGAUGUGAAAUCCCCGGGCUUAACUCGGGUGGUGCAUUUGAAACUGGGCGACUAGAGUGCAGGAGAGGGAAGCGGAAUCCCUAGUGUAGCGGUGAAAUGCGUAGAUAUUAGGAGGAACACCAGUGGCGAAGGCGGCUUUCUGGACUGUAACUGACACUGAGGCACGAAAGCGUGGGGAGCAAACAGGAUUAGAUACCCUGGUAGUCCACGCGGUAAACGAUGGAUACUAGGUGUAGGGGGCGUAGAGCCCUCUGUGCCGCAGCUAACGCAAUAAGUAUCCCGCCUGGGGAGUACGGCCGCAAGGUUGAA